ACUUAUUGAGUCGUUUUUUGAUAAUGAACAAUGUUUAUAUUUAAUCAUUUCUGUACUUAUUUUUUGUAAUUUAUUAUUAAUCUUAAUGCAAUAAGUGCAGUUACUUACAUUUUGCAUAUCAACUUGAGCUCCAUAAUCAACGAGAAUUCGGACCAUAUCAACAUCACGCCUUCGAGCAGCCAGAUGUAAAGCAGUAUCUCCUGCAGGCGUUGUUGCUCGUAAUUGGUCAGGUGCUUGUUGGGCAAGCAAUUCACGACACAUGGAUUGAUUACCUGCUUCCACUGCCAGAAGAAGUGGAAUUUUCCCUUUCUAUAAAAUUCCUUGAGUUCUCCGAAAGAAAACCAAUGAUAUAUGAACGCUUUAAAAUCGUAACCUCAGGCAUCAUCUGUUUUCAAGACGGAGUAUUAAAAAAAUAUAUUUGGAAGAAAAGAAGAAUUAUGAAGAAUAUGAGAGCAGAACGGUAGUGCCAGGCGGCGAUACCGCGGCUCUUGUCACGCGAACGAUGUAAAGACAUUCGACUUUGCAUCAAUGCUAGUAACUUCCCAUAACAUUGUUCAAAUUUUCUAAAUUUUCCGUUCUUUCAACCCAAAAAAUUGAUGGCAUUUAGAUGGGAUACGAAUUUUCCAAGAGUUAUUUUGGAAAAAUACUUACACCAUCAUUUAUCAAUCGAAUAUCUCUCCCUGAGGCAUUCAAAAGGGCUCGAAGUAUUGACGUUGCUGUUCCUGUUUGCCGUGACGCUACUAAAUGAACUGCAGUUUGUUUUCGAGGCUUUAACCACAUAAAAACACGAGAUUUUAUUUUAAUCAUUAUACAUCAUAAUUACAUUAUUGUUUUUCUGUUUGAUUCAUUUAUGGGCAACUUACGCCACCAGCUGCAUAAGGAUCAACUCCUUUCUUUGACAGCAAGAGCUUGACGACAUCCUCUCGAGAAUACAU